rnacentral:rRNA from 1 species
UGGGGAAUUUUGGACAAUGGGCGAAAGCCUGAUCCAGCAAUGCCGCGUGUGUGAAGAAGGCCUUCGGGUUGUAAAGCACUUUUGUCCGGAAAGAAAUCCUUGGCUCUAAUACAGUCGGGGGAUGACGGUACCGGAAGAAUAAGCACCGGCUAACUACGUGCCAGCAGCCGCGGUAAUACGUAGGGUGCAAGCGUUAAUCGGAAUUACUGGGCGUAAAGCGUGCGCAGGCGGUUUGCUAAGACCGAUGUGAAAUCCCCGGGCUCAACCUGGGAACUGCAUUGGUGACUGGCAGGCUAGAGUAUGGCAGGAGGGGGGUAGAAUUCCACGUGUAGCAGUGAAAUGCGUAGAGAUGUGGAGGAAUACGAUGGCGAAGGCAGCCCCCUGGGCCAAUACUGACGCUCAUGCACGAAAGCGUGGGGGAGCAAAACAGGAUUAGAUACCCUGGUAGUCCAGCGCCCUAAACGAUGUCAACUAGUUGUUGGGGAUUC